rnacentral:rRNA from 1 species
AUGAGCAUGAAGACGAUGAUGGCGUUAGCGCUGCUCCUGUGCCUGGCCGUGGCCGCGUCGCUGGGAGGCGUGGAGGCGAGGAAGCACCCGGGGAAGGAGACCCUGGGGUACUACGAGCUGCGCCGGGGCGAGUUCUCCAUGGUGGUCACCAACUGGGGCGCCACCAUCCUCUCCGUCCGACUCCCCGACAAGAACGGGCGCAUCGACGACGUUGUUCUUGGGUACAAGACCAUCGGAGGUUAUGUGGUGCGCUGCUUGAUCUUGAACUGUUUACUUAACCUCGGUGGUGGUGGACUGGUGGUGCCGCCGACAUUGAUUCGUUUGUUUGAUCCUUUCUUUCUUUUUUUCUUGACGACGCAGAAUGACACCACCUACUUCGGCGCGCUGGUGGGGCGGGUGGCGAACCGGAUCGCCGGCGGGCGGUUCACGAUCAAGAACCACCCCUACCACACCUACACCAACGACGGCAACAACACGCUCCACGGCGGCCACCGCGGGUUCAACCAGGUGUUCUGGUCGGUGCGGGAGCGGGCCACCGGCGCCUUCCCCUACAUCACCUUCUACUACCGCAGCGGCGACGGCGAGGAGGGCUUCCCGGGCGCCCUGGACGUGCUCGUCACCUACAAGAUCGACGGCGACUACUCGUACAGCGUCACCAUGUACGCCCGCCCCGUGGACAAGCCGACGCCCGUGAACCUGGCGCAGCACACGUACUGGAACCUGCGCGGGCACGGGCGGGGCACCGUCCUCGACCACUCCGUCCAGAUCUUCGCGUCCGCCGUCACCCCCGUCGGCGGCGACCUCAUCCCCACGGGCGCCGUGACGCCCGUCGCCGGCACGCCCUUCGACUUCCGCGCCCCGGCGGCGCCCGGCGCGCGCAUCGCGGAGGUGGAGGGGGGCUACGACAUCAACUACGUGCUGGACGGCCGCGACGCGGACGGGCAGGGGGUGCGCAAGGUGGCGGUGGUGAGCGAGGCCACGUCCGGGCGGGUGAUGGAGCUGUGGGGCGACCAGCCCGGCGUGCAGUUCUACACCGGCAACUUCCUCAAGGGCGACGAGGGCAAGGGCGGCGCCGUGUACGAGAAGCACGGCGGGCUGUGCCUGGAGACGCAGGACUUCCCCGACGCCGUGCACAACCCCAAGUUCCCCACCGAGAUCUACCGCGCGGGCCAGGUGUACAAGCACUACAUGCUCUACAAGUUCUCCAUCGCCGGCAAGUAG